CUUCCACUGCCUAUUGAAACAGUACAAAUACAUUUUAUCUCAACCUUUGAAAUAUUUCAUUGAAUUUUCAACAUUUAUUACACAUUCAUGUUUGCUUACCCUUCUCAUCCGUUAUACUAUGGAUCUGGAGACUUUUAUAAUAUCAUUUUUGUUUUGCAUAAAUCAUCAAAGACCUAACUUCCAAAAGAAUAAUUUUCCUUUUUUCAAAAGUCGAUGAUAUGGAGGUUAAACCUAACAUUUGUCUACAUCAGUAUUUUGAAAUCACCAGCUGAAAGGGUUGGAUGCAAAUGUUGCGAUUUUCCUGGUACUAAAAUAUUGUGAAGUCAGUUAUAAAGUGUUCGAAGCUUAUGGAAAUGUGUAUAACUCCAAU